rnacentral:tRNA from 1 species
UGGGGUGUAGCCAAGUGGCCUAAGGCACCAGAUUUUGAUUCUGGCAUUCGAAGGUUCGAAUCCUUCCACCCCAGCCA